rnacentral:lncRNA from 1 species
UGCACAACCACACCCCGUUAAUUUUUUGUAUUUUUAGUAGAGACGGAAUUUCACCAUGGUGGCCAUGACUGGUCCCCAACUCCUGACCUCAGGUGAUCUGCCCGCCUCCACCUCCCAAAGUGCUGAGAUUACAGGCCUGAGCCACCGCGCCCAGCCAUGGCAUCUGUUUUACCAGAAGAGAUCAACACACCCUCUGAAACAUGAUACAGGACACUGAUCUGGCUGGAGUGCAAUGGCACGAUCUUGGCCCACUGCAACCUCCACCUCCCAGAUUGAAGCAAUUCUCCUGCCUCAGCCUCCCGAGUAGCUGGGACCACAGGUAUGCACCACCACGCCUAGCUAAUUUUUUUUUUUUUUGUAUUUUCAGUAGAGACGGGGUUUCUCCAUGUUGAGGCUGGUCUUGAACUCCUGAUCCCAGGUGAUCCGCCCACCUUGACCUCCCAAAGUGCUGGGACCACAGGCAUGAGCCACUGCACCUGGCCUCUUGUCUUUUUUCUUAAUUUUUUUUUUUUUUUGAGAUGGAGUCUCACUCUGUUGCCCGGACUAGAGUGCAGUGGCUCAACCUCGGCUCACUGCAACCUCCGCCUUCCAGGUUCAAGUGAUUCUCCUGCUUCAGCCUUCCAAGUAGCUGGGUUCACAGGCGCCUGCCACCACACCUGGCUAA